rnacentral:rRNA from 1 species
AUUGAACGCUGGCGGCAUGCUUUACACAUGCAAGUCGAACGGUAACAGGGUGCUUGCACCGCUGACGAGUGGCGAACGGGUGAGUAAUGCGUCGGAACGUGCCGAGUAGUGGGGGAUAACGCAGCGAAAGUUGUGCUAAUACCGCAUACGUACUGAGGUAGAAAGUGGGGGACCUUCGGGCCUCACGCUAUUCGAGCGGCCGACGUCUGAUUAGCUAGUAGGUGAGGUAAAGGCUCACCUAGGCGACGAUCAGUAGCGGGUCUGAGAGGAUGAUCCGACACACUGGGACUGAGACACGGCCCAGACUCCUACGGGAGGCAGCAGUGGGGAAUUUUGGACAAUGGGCGAAAGCCUGAUCCAGCCAUGCCGCGUGUCUGAAGAAGGCCUUCGGGUUGUAAAGGACUUUUGUCAGGGAGGAAAUCCCUAGUGCUAAUACCGCUGGGGGAUGACAGUACCUGAAGAAUAAGCACCGGUUAACUACGUGCCAGCCGCCGCAGUAAAAC